AGGAGUUUGGUUUGCUUUGAUAUUUAGUGACCUUCCCUUUACCUAAGGCAUAGAAUUUCCAGACUUGCAACACCCCCAACACCUAGCAGGAGCCCCCAGCCUGGCACACAAUGAGGAAACUGGAGAAUUUGACCACAGUUACUCCACAAGGCAGUGAUCCACAAGGAUUUGUGCCCUGGCAUUUGGGGCUAACACUGUAACUCCAUUGAGCAGCAGGGGAGGCCAAACCUGACUCCCGUCUAUGUUAAAUUACGAUUUCUACUCUGGAGGCCCUAUUUCUAGUCUGAAAGCUCCGUAAGUCAGAAGGCAGAAAGGAAUCCUUCCUGUAAACAUCCUCGGGGCCACUCCCGGAAAAGGCAAUAAGCUCCCUUCAGGAUAGAAGGAAGAAACAACUGGAGAACAUGGCUUUGAUUUGAGAACUAAGUGAACUUUGAUACACUGAACCCUAGAAUUAGACGUGACUAAUUAGGUCUACUCACUUGGGCCCAAGCUUCUUCAGUGGACCAUCCCAAACAUCCCCAAAGAGCUUCAUCAGAAAGUUAAAACAUGGAGAAAAGGCAGAAAAACAAGUGACCUGCUGGAAGCAGCUCAUAGCCAAGAAGAAAAAGGCAAGAAAGGUG